UACGGGGGGGGCAAGCGUUGUUCGGAAUUACUGGGCGUAAAGAGCGUGUAGGCGGCCAGGUAGGUCCGCUGUGAAAAUUCGAGGCUCAACCUCGAGAUGUCGGCGGAAACCAUCUGGCUAGAGUCCGGAAGAGGAGAGUGGAAUUCCUGGUGUAGCGGUGAAAUGCGCAGAUAUCAGGAAGAACACCCGUGGCGAAGGCGGCUCUCUGGGACGGUACUGACGCUGAGACGCGAAAGCGUGGGGAGCGAACAGG
rnacentral:rRNA from 1 species